rnacentral:rRNA from 1 species
GGAAUAUUGGACAAUGGGCGCAAGCCUGAUCCAGCCAUGCCGCGUGAGUGAUGAAGGCCUUAGGGUUGUAAAGCUCUUUCACCGGUGAAGAUAAUGACGGUAACCGGAGAAGAAGCCCCGGCUAACUUCGUGCCAGCAGCCGCGGUAAUACGAAGGGGGCUAGCGUUGUUCGGAAUUACUGGGCGUAAAGCGCACGUAGGCGGAUAUUUAAGUCAGGGGUGAAAUCCCAGAGCUCAACUCUGGAACUGCCUUUGAUACUGGGUAUCUUGAGUAUGGAAGAGGUAAGUGGAAUUGCGAGUGUAGAGGUGAAAUUCGUAGAUAUUCGCAGGAACACCAGUGGCGAAGGCGGCUUACUGGUCCAUUACUGACGCUGAGGUGCGAAAGCGUGGGGAGCAAACAGGAUUAGAUACCCGAG